GACGAACCGUGCGAACGUUGUUCGGAAUCACUGGGCUUAAAGGGCGCGUAGGCGGGCUGCCAAGUCUGGGGUGAAAUCCUCCGGCUCAACCGGAGAACGGCCUGGGAUACUGGCGGCCUCGAGGGAGGUAGGGGCAUGCGGAACUAUGCGUGGAGCGGUGAAAUGCGUUGAUAUGCAUAGGAACUCCGGUGGCGAAGGCGGCGUGCUGGACCUCUUCUGACGCUGAGGCGCGAAAGCCAGGGGAGCGAACGGG
rnacentral:rRNA from 1 species